GAUGAACGCUGGCGGCGUGCCUAAUACAUGCAAGUCGAGCGAACGGACGAGAAGCUUGCUUCUCUGAUGUUAGCGGCGGACGGGUGAGUAACACGUGGAUAACCUACCUAUAAGACUGGGAUAACUUCGGGAAACCGGAGCUAAUACCGGAUAAUAUUUUGAACCGCAUGGUUCAAAAGUGAAAGACGGUCUUGCUGUCACUUCUAGAUGGAUCCGCGCUGCAUUAGCUAGUUGGUAAGGUAACGGCUUACCAAGGCAACGAUGCAUAGCCGACCUGAGAGGGUGAUCGGCCACACUGGAACUGAGACACGGUCCAGACGCCUACGGGAGGCAGCAGAAGGGAAUCUUCCGCAAUGGGCGAAAGCCUGACGGAGCAACGGCGCGUGAGUGAUGAAGGUCUUCGGAUCGUAAAACUCUGUUAUUAGGGAAGAACAGAUGUGUAAGUAACUGUGCACAGAGUGACGGUACCUAAUCAGAAAGCCACGGCUAACUACGUG
rnacentral:rRNA from 1 species